UAUGCAAUAUUGAAUCAAUAAAAAAUAAUUACAAUCGUUUGAAUUUUCCAUUGCAAAUAAUAAAAAGUCGGGAUAAACGAUAUAAGCGUUAAACUAAGUGGUUUGUGGUAACUGUAAAGCGCGUUUUUGAAUAAUCAAAUUUCCAGGCUGCAAUAAUAUACACGGUUUUACAAGCGUGCAAUCAUAAAAUCAAACAUAUCACUUAUUUGCAACUGUUGGACAAGUUUCGAUCGUCAAUUAUUUUUUAUCGUCGAUUAACCGUCCUCUUAAUAAUUUUUUUUAUUCAAUCCAAGUGAACGUAACCUAAGGAAGAAGGGUUUAUUUAAAUCAAACCGGCUUUAACGCAACAAUUUGUUUAUUUUUCUCUGUGAAUAAUCUAUUAAUAGAAUUAUUUAAGAUUUUUUGUUAAGAUUUUUAAGACAAGAAGCGAAGUAAUUCCAACAAUUUUCUUAAUAACAAUAUUAUUCGAAAACUCUUGAAACGGGUAAACGAUGAAACCAGAUGAUGAUAACGAUGAUGAUGAUGAUGAUGGAAUUCUCCAUCUUUAUGGGUAAGGAAAAGAUUACGCAACAUUUAUUGUGAACGGUUGGGCUUUGUAUCGAAUUUUUAACCGAGGAAAUUAGAAACCAUUGUUGCCAUCUUAGAAUAAAAAAAAAAAAAAAUAUUCCUAUUCAUCAAACGUAUUAUCCUAUACAAUAUAAAAAGAGAUUAUACUAUAUUCACAAUUACAAAAGGCAAUUACAAGCAUCGAGUAAAAUAAUCUCUUUCAAAAGAAUUCAUUCAAAAAUUCAUUUCCAAUUUUAAUUUUUUCUAAAGUUGAAGAAAAAAAAAAAAAAAACUUGAAUUACGAAUCUCUCGAUAUAACAACAACGGAAUAUAAAAUAUUUUUUAUACGCAGAACAAAUUAUAUCUUUUUUUUCUACACAAUUUGUCACAAUUAAUUAAUAACAGAAUAAAGUGGGAAAAAAUGCGAGGUUAAUUAUCUCGACGCGUUAAAAUCAUGGCUGGCUCGUUGGCUCCGUUAAAGUUCACGCGAACAGAAGAAGGGGAUUCAUGCAUUAUCGAAGCUCGUCCAGGCUUUCUGGAUGACUGGCGAUUUCGAUGACCUUAAAUUUCCCGUGAAAUGAGAAAUACGCAUCCCGUUGAUUCAUCGAGCGAGAAAAAAAAGAAAAAAAAAAUUCCUAAUUUUCCAACUCUCGAAAUUUUCUAGAGAAAAUUUCUCUAGGAUUUUCGAGGAACGAUCGAUAAAUAAUUCGUCGAAAGUUGCGAAUAUAAAAAAAAAAAAGAAUCGCGAAAAAUGAUGGCCGCCGCAACAACCGCUUCGCGAUUUAUCAUUCCGUCCCCGAUUUUAAGCAUUCGAGUUAUACGAAUACGAACUCGAUGGACCGCGCAAUCCGUUACGUGCGAGAUUCUUGCGAAUCUAUAUAUAUAUACAUAAAUACCGUAAAAUUGGAAAUUUUGUGGAAACGAGGAAAGUGGAGGAAAUGGAUUAAACGAAAAAAAAAAAAA